UGGGGAAUAUUGCACAAUGGGCGCAAGCCUGAUGCAGCCAUGCCGCGUGUAUGAAGAAGGCCUUCGGGUUGUAAAGUACUUUCAGCGGGGAGGAAGGGAGUAAAGUUAAUACCUUUGCUCAUUGACGUUACCCGCAGAAGAAGCACCGGCUAACUCCGUGCCAGCAGCCGCGGUAAUACGGAGGGUGCAAGCGUUAAUCGGAAUUACUGGGCGUAAAGCGCACGCAGGCGGUUUGUUAAGUCAGAUGUGAAAUCCCCGGGCUCAACCUGGGAACUGCAUCUGAUACUGGCAAGCUUGAGUCUCGUAGAGGGAGGUAGAGUUCCAGGUGUAGCGGUGAACUGCGUAGAGAUCUGGAGGAAUACCGGUGGCGAAGGCGGCCCCCUGGACGAAGACUGACGCUCAGGUGCGAAAGCGUGGGGAGCAAACAGG
rnacentral:rRNA from 1 species